UUGGAAGACUGAGAUGUGGCAACUGUAGCCCUGUCAUCCUCCAUACUCACAUCAGGGCUUCAAUAGAAUCAUUUCCUUCCAUCCUGUGCAACUGAGUCCACAGCAGAUUUUGAAUCUGUUACCUGGGGGACAUCGAGUGAGGAAUUUGCCUUGUCACCAGCCAUGGGAAUCUGGCUGUGAGCUUUCUUCAACAACAAAUAAUGAGGUCUUCUAAUUUACUUGCAUAGACCACUGGAGACUACAGUGAUUUAAAAGAAGCCUAGAAUUGACUUCACAAAUUUGACUAAAGCAAAAUUUGAGGACAUUUUGAAGUGUCUUCUUCAAACAAAUCAUCCAAAGGAAUUCUGAGCUCGGAGUUUUAAAUUCAGCACCAUCAUUAAGUCCAUCUUCAAAGUCAAGCCCCAAAAUGGAAACAGCAAGAAGUACCAACGAAAGAAGAGUGGCAGAUGAAAAUGAUGGACUUUGGGGAACUGGUGAAGCUGACAGGAAAAAUUCAAAACCAGCACGAUCAAGUAUUCCAAAAAGAUUGGGCUAAAUUUAUAUGACAUUUGAAAGAUCAUUGUAAGCAAUUAACAUCACUAGUAGGGUUGACUGAAAAUUUGUAAUGAGAAACUUUCUUCCUUUUUAUAUUUAUUUAAAUUUUGAGAUAUUUCGUAAUGAGUUUAAUUGGAAAACGUAUAAAAUGCUAUGACAUAAAGGUUAACUUUGACAGCCAUAAGGCGGGAGGGAAGGAAAUCGAUAGGCUCUAAAGAGCCAGAGAGGUAAAGUGGAUAAUAAUGGUGUGAUUAUAUAU